AUGUGUGUUCUGUGUUCCGUGCACAUGUUCUGUACGUGUUACGUAUGUUCCAUAUGUGUGUUCCGUACGUGUGUUCCGUAUGCGUUUCAUACAUGUGUUCCGUAUGCAUGUUCCAUACGCGCGUUCCGUGUGUUCUGUAUGCGUUCUGUACAUGUGUUCCAUACGUAUGUUCCGUACGUGUGUUCCGUCUGUGUGUUCCGUACGUGUGUUCUGUGUUCUGUGUGUUCUGUACGCAUGUUCUAUACACGUUACAUAUGUUCCAUAUGUGUUCCAUAUGUGUGUUCCGUGUGUUCUGUACGCAUGUUCUAUACACGUUACAUAUGUUCCAUAUGUGUUCCAUAUGUGUGUUCCGUAUGCAUUUCAUACACGUGUUCUGUAUGCGUGUUCCGUACGCGUGUUCCAUGUGUUCUGUAUGCGUUCCAUACGUGUGUUCCAUACGUAUGUUCCGUAUGUGUGUUCCAUGUGUUCCGUAUGCAUUCCAUACGCGUGUUCCGUACGUGUUCUAUACGUGUGUUCUGUAUGCAUGUUCCGUACGCAUGUUCUGUGUGUUCUGUAUGUGUUCCGUACGUGUGUUCUGUACGUGUGUUCCAUGUGUUCCGUACGCGUGUUCUGUAUGCAUGUUCCGUACGUGUGUUCCAUAUGCGUUCCAUAUGCGUAUUCUGUACGUGUUCCGUACGUGUGUUCCAUGUGUUCCGUACGUGCGUUCUGUAUGUGUGUUCCGUAGGCGUGUUCCAUGUGUUCCGUAUGCAUUCCGUACGUGUGUGCUGUACGUGUUCCGUAUGUGUGUUCUGUGUGUUCCGUAUGUGUUCCAAUACGUGUUCCAUACGUGUGUUCCGUACGUUUGUUCCAUAUUCGUGUUCUGUAUGCAUGUUCCAUGUGUUCUGUAUGCGUUCCGUCCGCAUGUUCCGUACGCAUGUUCCAUGUGUUUUGUAUGCAUUCCAUACGUGUGUUCUGUACAUGUGUUCCAUACGUGUGUUCUGUACACGUGUUCCAUAUGUGUUCUGUAUGUGUGUUACGUAUGUUCCAUAUGUGUGUUCCGUAGGUGUUUCCGUACACGUGUUCCAUAUGUGUGUUCUGUGUGUUCCAAACGGCAGCUCAAUGGAUGGCACAAAUGCGUUUCCUCAGCGUGGGCCUGGGGAGAAGCUCCCAGGCACGUCUUCUGACUGGUCAGGCAGAACGCUGAAGACGUGGACUUGGGGGCCAAGAUCUCACACGCUCGACAUUUUCGCUCCAUCAAGGACAUUGGAAGUGACCGGGUUUUGCACUGCAGCUGUGGGUGGGGAAGGCCUUGGGGCUGUGCCAGGGCUUGGGGCCUGCCUGUGUUCCUGUGCAGAACCUGCCACGCAGGGCACACAUCAGCUCCGGGAAGACCCCAUGAUCAUCAGACUCUGA
ensembl:lncRNA